GGGAUAUUGCACAAUGGGCGAAAGCCUGAUGCAGCGACGCCGCGUGAGUGAAGAAGUCUUUCGGUAUGUAAAGCUCUAUCAGCAGGGAAGAAAGACCUCGUAAGAGGGGAUGACGGUACCUGAGUAAGAAGCCCCGGCUAACUACGUGCCAGCAGCCGCGGUAAUACGUAGGGGGCAAGCGUUAUCCGGAUUUACUGGGUGUAAAGGGAGCGUAGACGGUGUAUCAAGUCUGAAGUGAAACCCCACGGCUCAACCGUGGGCUUGCUUUGGAAACUGGUAGACUAGAGUACUGGAGAGGUAAGCGGAAUUCCUGGUGUAGUAGUGAAAUGCGUAGAUAUCAGGAAGAACAUCAGUGGCGAAGGCGGCUUACUGGACAGCAACUGACGUUGAGGCUCGAAGGCGUGGGGAGCAAACA
rnacentral:rRNA from 1 species